CCUACGGGGGGCAGCAGUGGGGAAUCUUGCGCAAUGGCCGAAAGGCUGACGCAGCGACGCCGCGUGGAGGAUGACGCCCUUCGGGGUGUAAACUCCUGUUGCCCGGGACGAACGACCUGUUUCGACAGGUGUGACGGUACCGGGUGAGGAAGCACCGGCUAACUCUGUGCCAGCAGCCGCGGUAAUACAGAGGGUGCGAGCGUUGUCCGUAGUCACUGGGCGUACGGGGGGGGCUGGCGGCGGGGUUGGCGAAAGUCCGGGGCUCAACCCCGGAUCGGCCAUGCGAACUGUCCAGCUGGAGCACGGUAGAGGCACAUGGAAUUCCGGGUGUAGCGGUGGAAUGCGUAGAGAUCCGGAAGAACACCGGUGGCGAAGGCGGUGUGCUGGGCCGUAGCUGACGCUGAGGCGCGACAGCGUGGGGAGCAAACAGGAUUAGAUACCCCGGUAGUC
rnacentral:rRNA from 1 species